rnacentral:rRNA from 1 species
CUUGGUGUGAAUUGCAGAAUCCCGUGAACCAUCGAGUCUUUGAACGCAAGUUGCGCCCCAAGCCAUCAGGCGGAGGGCACGUCUGCCUGGGUGUCACGC